rnacentral:misc_RNA from 1 species
AAGUCGUAACAAGGUUUCCGUAGGUGAACCUGCGGAAGGAUCAUUAAUGAUACCUAGAGCUCCCUCGUCCGCGAGUGUCGUCAGGGUGGUUGAGGAUUUUCCUCCCGAAAUAGCCCUGGCGCCCUCCCGGCCGAGAUGUUCUACAUCACACCCUUUGACUACAUACCUUUGUUGCUUUGGUGGGCCGCCCCUCGGGGCGUGGGCUUCGGCCCGCCGCGCCCGCCAGAGGACCGAAACUCUUGUGUUUAGUGAUGUCUGAGUACUAUAUAAUAGUUAAAACUUUCAACAACGGAUCUCUUG